GUUGACCUCGGAUCAGGUAGGGAUACCCGCUGAACUUAAGCAUAUCAAUAAGCGGAGGAAAAGAAACCAACAGGGAUUGCUCUAGUAACGGCGAGUGAAGCAGCAAUAGCUCAAAUUUGAAAUCUGGCGUCUUCGACGUCCGAGUUGUAAUUUGUAGAGGAUGCUUCUGAGUAACCACCGACCUAAGUUCCUUGGAACAGGACGUCAUAGAGGGUGAGAAUCCCGUAUGCG
rnacentral:rRNA from 1 species